rnacentral:rRNA from 1 species
AUACGGAGGAUCCGAGCGUUAUCCGGAUUUAUUGGGUUUAAAGGGAGCGUAGGUGGACAGUUAAGUCAGUUGUGAAAGUUUGCGGCUCAACCGUAAAAUUGCAGUUGAUACUGGCUGUCUUGAGUACAGUAGAGGUGGGCGGAAUUCGUGGUGUAGCGGUGAAAUGCUUAGAUAUCAGGAAGAACUCCGAUUGCGAAGGCAGCUCACUGGACAACAACUGACACUGAUGCGCGAAAGCGUGGGGAGCAAACAGGAUUAGAGACCCUGGUAGUCCACACAGUAAACGAUGAAGACUCGCUGUGUGCGAUAUACAGUAAGCGGCCAAGCGAUAGCAUUAUGUAUCCCACCUGGGGAGUGCGCCGGCCACGGUGAGACUCUAAUGAAUUGUCGGGG